rnacentral:lncRNA from 1 species
CCUGACCCAGUCCCCUGUGAUGGAGCUGGGAUUGCUCCAACUCCUCAGUGGAGCUUCACUGACUUGCAGUGACCAGUGCCUGGCCAUCUCCUUCCUGCCUUUGAUUUUGGUUUGUUCACAGACCAUGGUGGAACCAAGGAGGGACGUCAACCUCAAGAUACACUUGGCAAGCUGACAUGGCCAGAGCUACUGGAAAAACACCAGCACAGACAGCCAUUUCCCCAUGAUCCCCAGAUAUUUACAACCUUCCAGUUCUACUGAGCAGGUAAAACGAUUCCCUGUUGUGUUUGUGUCGCAGCUAUUCUGCUUCCAUCUCGAACUGCAGAUGGCUUUUCUCAGAACUUGAGAAUGUUGUUCUCUAAUCAACUGAAUUGAACUUUGUGUUUUGUGAAGUAGCGGGGACUAAGUACAGUCUGUCUGUAAUGACACAUCUGUCUUCUAAGAAGCUGUACAGAGCGCAGCCAGAAGACCUUUGAGCUCAUCUGAAAGCACUGCAUUCAAAUGAAAAUGGAACUAAAAAUAGUAAUUACUGGAAAACAAAAGGGACAACCUGACCCCACAGUUGGCAGACUUAGUACAACAGGAGCAAUAUGCAAUUGUAUACAUAUUUCUAAACCAUACUUGAGAGCAGCUUCCAGGAGCUUCCAAGUAGAAAUGCAUGCAUAGCUCUGACAGGAGAGAGGGCCCAAACACAAACCAGCCCGUUUAACAUAUUGCAGCUUAUCUAGCUGUAAAAGCUUUCGAAUGGACAAGACCUGAAUUUUUCCCUUCUAGCAGAAGACUUGAACAAACAGCAAAGCUGUAAAUAACCACAAUGAGGUUGCUUUGCAAUUGACAACAGAAAGAAAGGUGGCUUCAAGACAGAGAGAUUCCUACGCACCAGAGAUUAUUCCACAGACCAGAGGCACCUCUCCAUUUAAUGCAGCCCAACAGAAGGUAACACACCUGGUCUUCACCAAGACAGCCCAUUGAUAAGAAAAUGAAAACCACACUGGCCUUCCAUGCCUUCACGGUGGAUACCAAGGAAGCCAAGCCUAGCACAGACAGAGCAAAAGAGAGAGGCCAUGGUCUUCAGGCUGACAAGGGCUGCAGAAGCUUGCAAUCAUCUCAAAACCUGAGACUGCUAUCAGGAGCUGAGGCUCUUCAAGUAAAUUCCAUGAAGGGACCUGGAACUCCAGCAUGCAGAGCCAGGACUGGCAGCAGCGGGGAGAGCUCAGUCAUACACCACUCAUCAGCUCUAAGCUGAGGGAAUCACCACGAGGGAAAGAGGAGAGGCAAAGGAAAUAAAUCAUCUGAUAUCCUGUCAGCAAACUGCCAUCAGUGCUUUGAGACUGGAGGCGUUUCUCCUACCCCAGAAGAGCAUUGAAAAAAAAAAGUCUAGCUGAUAACUUGGACAGGGUUCAGGUAUGUUUGUGUGCAUACCAGCAGUUAAACUGAUUUCUUCCACUAUCUUAUCUGUCCAUUUCUGGCUUUGAAGGGGAAGAAGUUUGGCAGGCGAGUUGCUCUUGGAAUGCACUCAGUAAACCAUGGACAGGAGAACCAAGGAGCAUAAAUAGAAGUAGCCAUAGGUGUAGCAGCUGGGAGCCUGACUUCUGGCUUCUAUUCCGAGCUCUACUCAUGACUCACUUGACAACCUUGGAAAGCCACUUCACCUCUCCCUGCUCCAGCAUUCUCACAGGCACAGCUCACCCAUUUCACAGGUACCCCAGGCAGAGGAACCCCACUGCUUCCAGCUGGGUAAGCAAUUCUGGAGGAAGGACCUCAUCCCUCUUCCUCUGUUAGCCCCAGGCCAUUCAGCCCCACAGGUCAGGGCACCUGGAGGGGAACUGGCAACUUGAACCAAGUGCAUCUCGUGAAGCUUUUUGGGAUCCAUCAAGGAAAGGAAAAGCACUUUAACAAGAUGUUGCUAAUUAUAGCUUGACAGCACAUAACACAUUCCUGCUCUGGACAGAGCUCUGCUAUCAGCCAACUCAAUUAUACAUUAUCUUUGCCCAAUUCCCUCCUUAUUAAUUGUGACCAAAGCACUGAAUAAAGCCAAAUUUC